AUGCGACGCCCCUUAAUUAUAUCUUUAAAUAUGUUAUGUUCUUAAAAAUUCUGUUACAUAAAGUAAUAGUUCGUAUUUUGGGAUUUUGGGUCUAUCAAUAUAGUCCAAAAAUAUUUAGACAUUAUCAGCAAUAUUGGUACGUUUUGAGACGGCAUUUUCCUCUUUCCAGCAGUGCGUGACCCGAAGGAGAAUGUUAGCAAAGUCCUCUGUUAGAGCUCCGACUAGCUUAACACUAAAGUUUUCAUACAGUUUUAAAUAUCAAAACAAUCUAUUUGUAAGGCAAUUGUUAAAAUGAGUUUAGACUCACUCUUCCAGCAAAUUCUGAUGACUGAGCAUCAGCUGACGGAACAGACACAAAAACUCAAAGACGUAAAAGUGGAAAUUAUUCGAUGCAAUGAGAAGAUUAAGAGUGAAACCGAAAAAUAUGAGCAGACCACUGAGGAACUUGAUAAGAAGGCUCAGCAGUUGUCGACGAUGACUCCGCAGUGUGAUAUGAUAAAGAAAUGUGAAGACCAGAUGUUGAAGCAAAUUGAGGAGCGGCUCUGUCAGCAGAGCCACCUCAGGGAUCAUCUGGCCAAGAUAAAACAGGAGUCUAAAGAAGAAGAGCAACAGUUCCUUCAGGAGAUUGUGAGGUUCAACGAUGACUUCAGCCUUUCAGGGAACAGAGCAACUGUGUUGGAGAGCCAAGCACACGCUGAGAUCAUGGCCCUGCAGAGUGAGGCGGAAGCUUUGCACAAAGAGAUGGAUGAGAUGAAGUGCACGAACAGCCACAUGAGCUCCACACUGGAGGAAAAGGGGCAACUGCUGCUGGACCUCCAGGACCUGGAGGACGUUCAGAGAGCAGACCUGGAGCAGCAGAUGAAAGAGGCUCAAUCAAUGACUGAAUCUCUGAGAUCAGAGAGCCUCUUUGUCAGUCAGAAGCACCUUACUGACAGCACCUGUCUGAGCCUGAGAAAGGAGCUGGAGAUGCUGAAAGAUCAAGACCUCGAACACCUUCGACAGGCCCUCAGCUCCGAUGUGCAGUUCCUCCAGGCAGUUUACGAGUACCCACUGUUGGGAAUCAGUGCUGGAAACCAUUCCAGCCUUGAGCCGGUCUACAGUUUUGUCCCUGGUGUCUUUUGGAGGGCUUGUAAAAAAUGAACUAACAGGUCUGUGAGAGCCCAAUUUCUUGCCGAUUCUGUCUCAGUUGAAGUGUACCUACAAUGAAAAUUACAGACUUCUCCAUUCUUUAAGCGGAAGAGCAGCCAGGAGAAUGAGCAGCGCUAAGAUGAACUCACUGAUUCAAGAUAUUUACUUUCUGACCGUUGUGUUUUUGAGCCAGCCAGUACUGCUACAGGUGCUGUUACAUUGUAAAAUACGUAGUUGUGCUUUGAUAUUUAUUUUUAAAAAGAUGGGUUUGAUGUUGAUCUUUCAAAUGUAGAAAACCCUAAAAAAGAAUAGAUUAUUUGAAUCUUAAGCCUUCUUUCCAUGUUCAAUGUGUUUGAAACAGUAGUAAUUUUAAAAUUUUACCUUCACAACCUUUGAGGUCUCUCUGAGUGUAAUAUUUUUCCCUUAUAGAAUUCCAAUUCGGGAAAGUCUAAAUUUAUCCCAACAUUGUCAGUUGUCUGGUUUCUUUUAUCCUUUAUUGAAUAAAUUCAGUACAUUUAAUUAUUUGUUUUGUGAACUUUGGUUUAAUUAAUAGGAUGCACAAUGGUAAAAGAAAUUGACCAAGUAAUUACAUGUUUUUUAAAUGAAAUGUAAUUUUAGUUUUUUCAUUUUUGUUUGUUUGUUUGAAGCAUUUUCAGGUGCCUACUUGUUAAAAUACAUUUCAAGUAAAUAAUAAGUUUCAGGUUAAAGACGCCAACUGAAACUGCAAGAUAGUGAGAAGAAAAACGUGAGUUUACGCUGCCCUCUAGUGUACAAAGAGGGUUGUUGCAUUAAUCUGUGUGGAUUCAAUAAAGAGAGAGCUGCUGCCAUGACCUUA